GAUGAACGCUGGCGGCGUGCCUGAUACAUGCAAGUCGAGCGAACGGACGAGAAGCUUUCUUCUCUGAUGUUAGCGGCGGACGGGUGAGUAACACGUGGAUAACCUACCUAGAAGACUGGGAUAAAUUAGGGAAACCGGAGCUAAUACCGGAUAAUAUUUUGAACCGCAUGGUUCAAAAGUGAAAGACGGUCUUGCUGUCACUUAUAGAUGGAUCCGCGCUGCAUUAGCUAGUUGGUAAGGUAACGGCUUACCAAGGCAACGAUGCAUAGCCGACCUGAGAGGGUGAUCGGCCACACUGGAACUGAGACACGGUCCAGACUCCUACGGGAGGCAGCAGUAGGGAAUCUUCCGCAAUGGGCGAAAGCCUGACGGAGCAACGCCGCGUGAGUGAUGAAGGUCUUCGGAUCGUAAAACUCUGUUAUUAGGGAAGAACAUAUGUGUAAGUAACUGUUCACAUCUUGACGUUACCUAAUCAGAAAGCCACGGCUAACUACGUG
rnacentral:rRNA from 1 species